AGCACUUGAAACAGAUUCUUCGGAUGAAGUUUCCUGUGACUGAGUGGCGGACGGGUGAGUAACGCGUGGGUAACCUGCCUCAUACAGGGGGAUAACAGUUAGAAAUGGCUGCUAAUACCGCAUAAGCGCACGGCAUCGCAUGAUGCAGUGUGAAAAACUCCGGUGGUAUGAGAUGGACCCGCGUUGGAUUAGCUAGUUGGCAGGGUAACGGCCUACCAAGGCGACGAUCCAUAGCCGGCCUGAGAGGGUGGACGGCCACAUUGGGACUGAGACACGGCCCAGACUCCUACGGGAGGCAGCAGUGGGGAAUAUUGCACAAUGGGGGAAACCCUGAUGCAGCGACGCCGCGUGAGCGAAGAAGUAUUUCGGUAUGUAAAGCUCUAUCAGCAGGGAAGAAAAUGACGGUACCUGACUAAGAAGCCCCGGCUAACUACGUGCCAGCAGCCGCGGUAAUACGUAGGGGGCAAGCGUUAUCCGGAUUUACUGGGUGUAAAGGGAGCGUAGACGGAAUGGCAAGUCUGAUGUGAAAGGCCGGGGCUCAACCCCGGGACUGCAUUGGAAACUGCCAAUCUAGAGUACCGGAGGGGUAAGCGGAAUUCCUAGUGUAGCGGUGAAAUGCGUAGAUAUUAGGAGGAACACCA
rnacentral:rRNA from 1 species